rnacentral:rRNA from 1 species
CGGGACGGGGUGGAGUAAUGUCUGGGAAACUGCCUGAUGGAGGGGGAUAACUACUGGAAACGGUAGCUAAUACCGCAUAACGUCGCAAGACCAAAGAGGGGGACCGUUCGGGCCUCUUGCCAUCGGAUGUGCCCAGAUGGGAUUAGCUAGUAGGUGGGGUAACGGCUCACCUAGGCGACGAUCCCUAGCUGGUCUGAGAGGAUGGCCAGCCACACUGGAACUGAGACACGGUCCAG